UCGGGAAUUUUGGGCAAUGGGCGAAAGCCUGACCCAGCAACGCCGCGUGAAGGAUGAAGUAUUUCGGUAUGUAAACUUCGAAAGAAUAGGAAGAAUAAAUGACGGUACUAUUUAUAAGGUCCGGCUAACUACGUGCCAGCAGCCGCGGUAAUACGUAGGGACCAAGCGUUGUUCGGAUUUACUGGGCGUAGAGGGCGCGUAGGCGGCAAUUCAAGUCAUCUGUGAAAUCUCCGGGCUUAACUCGGAACGGUCAGAUGAUACUGCUUUGCUAGAGUGCAGAAGGGGCAAUCGGAAUUCUUGGUGUAGCGGUGAAAUGCGUAGAUAUCAAGAGGAACACCUGAGGUGAAGACGGGUUGCUGGGCUGACACUGACGCUGAGGCGCGAAAGCCAGGGGAGCAAACGGGAUUAGAUACCCCCGUAGUCCCUGAGCGGGCUGGCAAGGCGCAU
rnacentral:rRNA from 1 species